rnacentral:rRNA from 1 species
UACGGGAGGCAGCAGUGGGGAAUAUUGCACAAUGGGCGCAAGCCUGAUGCAGCCAUGCCGCGUGUAUGAAGAAGGCCUUCGGGUUGUAAAGUACUUUCAGUCGUGAGGAAGGUGUUAAGGUUAAUAACCUUAGCAAUUGACGUUAGCGACAGAAGAAGCACCGGCUAACUCCGUGCCAGCAGCCGCGGUAAUACGGAGGGUGCGAGCGUUAAUCGGAAUUACUGGGCGUAAAGGGCACGCAGGCGGUUAAUAAGUUGGAUGUGAAAUCCCCGGGCUUAACCUGGGAAUGGCAUUCAAGACUGGUUAGCUAGAGUCUUGUAGAGGGGGUAGAAUUCCAUGUGUAGCGGUGAAAUGCGUAGAGAUGUGGAGGAAUACCGGUGGCGAAGGCGGCCCCUGGACAAAGACUGACGCUCAUGUGCGAAAGCGUGGGGAGCAAACAGGGAUUAGAUACC